AUCUCCACAAGUUUUGUGAUAGAGCCUCGCUCAGCUGGACUUCCUCACGCUGAUUUACCCGGCAAGUAAAGCUUACUGACAUGAGAACACUGAAUCGCACACAGACAGUGUUUGCCAAGACAGCAUAGCAAGGGGCAUGAUUUCCCCACUGUCAUCGAGGUUAGCUUAAUAAUUAAUACAGGUGCCAGAUGAUACUGAACAAAAGUUAGCCCAACCUACGACAGUUAGCCACUGCACACAGCUCUGUGGCAGAAAAUGGUCGUGGAGAUUCAGCUCUUCACUAUUUACUACUACGCACAGCCCAUGCGUCCACCCCUUUGGAGGACCAAGUGUUCCUGUAGCGAAGCCUAGAAUUAACGUGUUUUACCACGGGCCACUUCAAGCCUUUGCUUCUGCAGGUCUAUUAGUCGAACAAUUUCCCGUCCACAACUACCAAAGAUGUGUGCUGCACAGACCUCGGGCACACGAGCACAGGUUUACAAACUUCCAAAGCAGCAAUUUGCUUAAAGAGUGGAAGGAGAGCAAAUUUCCCUCCGAACAAGCGGUCGCUGUUGGCAAAGACACAGACAGCCGUCCGCGGAGCUCAGCCCGGCACUCACCCGGCCAGGGGCUGCCAGGACAUCGCAGUGCCAGCGGACAGAACGACAUCGCCUCCGCGACGGUCCGCGCUCGCAACGCUCCCCCGCCUGCAGCCACCCCAGGAAGCGCCUCCCUCGGGCAGGAGGGGCGGAGGGACGGCCGAGCUCUUGCAGAUUGA
rnacentral:lncRNA from 1 species